rnacentral:misc_RNA from 1 species
CAAUAACCAGCCAAAACAUAAUAAUCUUUUUAGCUGAGACAUUUGUAUACUCCAAUAAACUUUAUAGAAAUGAAGAGGCAAACUAUGAGAUGUAGGGGAAAGAAUUAACUUCAGGCAUGAUGAUCAAACUUUAACACUUGAAACUAAUAUUGUUUGCAGGUAAAUGAUAAAGAAAGAUGAGAGUAGAAACAACAAUUUUAUCUUCUUUCCUUAAUGCAAAAUAUAAUACGACUUUGAACAAAUAUCAUCUGAUUACCUAUCAAUAAG